ensembl:rRNA 5S_rRNA 5S ribosomal RNA
GCUUACGGCCACACCGGCCUGAGUACACCUGAUCUCGUCCGAUCUCGGAAGCUAAGCAGGGUCGGGCCUGGUUAGUACUUGGAUGGGAGACCGCCUGGAAAUACCAGGUGCUGUAAGCU